rnacentral:rRNA from 1 species
UACGGAGGGUGCGAGCGUUGUCCGGAAUCACUGGGCGUAAGGGCGCGUAGGCGGUCUGCUAAGCGUGCGGUGAAAGCCUGGGGCUCAACCCCAGUCUGCCGUGCGAACUGGUGGACUAGAGCACUGUAGAGGCAGGUGGGAAUUCCGGGUGUAGCGGUGGAAUGCGUAGAGAUCCGGAAGAACACCGGUGGCGAAGGCGGGCCUGCU